UGGGUAGAUAGGUGGGUUGUGGGAUGGAUGGGUGGAGAAAUGGAUCUAUGUAUCUCUAAGUCAAUCAACUGAAUGCCUUCUGUUGCAAGGUAACCAUGAGUCUGCC
rnacentral:lncRNA from 1 species